CCAAGGUACAGCAAUCCUCCCCUAUGAAUUCACAGAAACCCCCCUUGGACGCUAAAAGAAUAUUAAGAGCCAUCUUUUCCUGCAAUACCAGAGUCUUCAUCUGUCGU